CCAAUAUCUAUCAUGAAAGGGUAUAAAAGAACUAAAAUGUAUUGAAAAGUUAAUAAUAGUUUUUUAUUUUAGAAUCUUUAUUGAGUGAUCUAAAAGGAUACACACGAAACAUGACUUUACCUCAAAGAAGUAUAAAUUGACUUAAUAUUUCUAAAGCUUUUCUUCCAUAUCAAUAAGUGUUAUAAAAUUAAGUAUAAAUCAAUUUUCUUUGUUGCAUAAAAAGAGAAAAAAUAUGACAAAAUUUUUCAUGUUUUUUUUCGUGCUAUGGUCUAUUUUCCUUGCUUUUGUUGUAAGUGACGUAAAUGCGAUCACAGAAGUGGAGUGUGAAAACAAUCAUGACUGUAUUUCUUUAUAUCCACAAUUGCUUAUGCGUUGUCUUAAUGGUAAAUGUGUCAUGAUGGUAUAUCGAGAAGGUGUCUCCAUGAAAGUUGAGAAUUAAUACUACGUUAAUAACUUAUGUCAAAGCUUAUAAAUUUAUUAGAAAUCUUAAUAUUGUAACUCUUAUAUUAUAAGUUUAAGUGAACUAUAUUUUGUUUUUCAUAAUGAGAAUGAUUUGACUAUUAGCUUCA